GUAAUGGGCGAGGACGAUCCCGGAGAUCGGUCCUUUCCUUGAAUUAAGGCGAGAUUUAUGCAAUCAUCUUCCGAGUUGAUAUUUGGCCAUAACAACUACCCCCCAAGCCCUUGAAGCAUAAGUGCGAAAGGGUUUAAAGAAGCUUCAGGCGAGGAAGAUGGUUAGUUGGCUGGUUUCCUGUAAUAGUACUCUGGCGAGCUCCAUCCUUGGGCGAGGACUCCAUCAAAGAGCCAAGUCAUUUAGAUAAUCAAGUAUCACAUUCCGGACAUGACUCCAGGAGAGGACUCAUUGAAGGCGAGGAUGGUAUAAGUCUUCCACUCCGGUUAGCUAAUUGCUAGAAUCAGCAACGGGCGAGGACGCCCCUCAAGCGAGGACUCCGUUAAGGGGUCGAGCUGAAGGUGAGGCUUAGCUGAGCGAGACGAUCAGUUGAGUGAAAAGAUGGUCAACAGCUGAGUGAGAGGACGAUCGAUAGCUGAGUGAGAGGACGAUCAUCAGCUGCGGUAGACGAAGCUCAUCAGCUGAGUGAGAGGAUGAUCAUCUGCUGAGGGCGAGGACGAUCAUCAGCUGAGGUAGACGAAGCUCAUCGGCUGAGGGAGAGGACGAUCAUCUGCUGAGGGCGAGGAUGAUCAUCAGCCGAGGUAGACGAAGCUCAUCAGCUGAGUGAGAGGACGAUCAUCUGCUGAGGGCGAGGAUGAUCAUCAGCUGAGGUAGACGAAGCUUAUCAGCUCAGGGAGAGGAUGAUCAUCUGCUGAGGGCGAGGACGAUCAUCAGCUCAGGACGAAGCUUAUCAGCUGAGGUAGACGACGAUCAUCAGCUGAG
rnacentral:lncRNA from 1 species